rnacentral:misc_RNA from 1 species
AACCAUAGAAACCUGCGGAGUACCUGCGGAGGGAUCAUUACAGAGUUGCAAAACUCCCUAAACCUUUGUGAACGUUACCUAAACCGUUGCUUCGGCGGGCGGCCCGGGUCCUUCCCGGCGCCCCUCGGCCCUCGCGGGCGCCCGCCGGAGGUAAACCAAACUAUUGCAUUGUAUGGCCUCUCUGAGUCUUCUGUACUGAAUAAGUCAAAACUUUCAACAAUGGAUCUCAGAUCGGAAGAG